GAUGAACGCUGGCGGCGUGCCUAAUACAUGCAAGCCGAGCGAAUGGAUUAAGAGCUUGCUCUUAUGAAGUUAGCGGCGGACGGGUGAGUAACGCGUGGGUAACCUGCCCAUAAGACUGGGAUAACUCCGGGAAACCGGGGCUAAUACCGGAUAACAUUUUGAGCCGCAGGGUUCGAAAUUGAAAGGCGGCUUCGGCUGUCACUUAUGGAUGGACCCGCGUCGCAUUAGCUAGUUGGUAAGGUAACGGCUCACCAAGGCAACGAUGCGUAGCCGACCUGAGAGGGUGAUCGGCCACACUGGGACUGAGACACAGCCCAGACUCCUACGGGAGGCAGCAGUAGGGAAUCUUCCGCAAUGGACGAAAGUCUGACGGAGCAACGCCGCGUGAGUGAUGAAGGCUUUCGGGUCGUAAAACUCUGUUGUUAGGGAAGAACAAGUGCUAGUUGAAUAAGCUGGCACCUUGACGGUACCUAACCAGAAAGCCACGGCUAACUACGUGCCAGCCGCCGCAGUAA
rnacentral:rRNA from 1 species